UCUGUGUAUACAGUCGUACUGCGGGCGACCCCAGCAGCUGACCUAUGAGGGGUCGGAAGAGCCAUGACUGCCUCAUUACUGGUAGAUCCAGUGUUAACAGGGCAAGGUGAAGAAUGAAAGAUCCACAGCAGCUGAAGGUGUCGGCCCUCUCAGCAAAAUUGAAAGCCUAAUCAUGUAUCAUGAAUUCUGGGUUGAUUUGUUUUCACAAUCAAGAAAGAAGCACACAUUGAUGUCCCAUGGUUUAUUGUGUCCUCUAAACAGUUCAGGUUAG